CGAACGGGGAGGAGCCCAGAGCCUGAAUCAGUGUGUGUGUUAGUGGAAGCGUCUGGAAAGGCGCGCGAUACAGGGUGACAGCCCCGUACACAAAAAUGCACAUACUGUGAGCUCGAUGAGUAGGGCGGGACACGUGGUAUCCUGUCUGAAUAUGGGGGGACCAUCCUCCAAGGCUAAAUACUCCUGACUGACCGAUAGUGAACCAGUACCGUGAGGGAAAGGCGAAAAGAACCCCGGCGAGGGGAGUGAAAAAGAACCUGAAACCGUGUACGUACAAGCAGUGGGAGCCUCUUAAUGGGGUGACUGCGUACCUUUUGUAUAAUGGGUCAGCGACUUAUAUUCUGUAGCAAGGUUAACCGAAUAGGGGAGCCGAAGGGAAACCGAGUCUUAACUGGGCGUUAAGUUGCAGGGUAUAGACCCGAAACCCGGUGAUCUAGCCAUGGGCAGGUUGAAGGUUGGGUAACACUAACUGGAGGACCGAACCGACUAAUGUUGAAAAAUUAGCGGAUGACUUGUGGCUGGGGGUGAAAGGCCAAUCAAACCGGGAGAUAGCUGGUUCUCCCCGAAAGCUAUUUAGGUAGCGCCUCGUGAAUUCAUCUCCGGGGGUAGAGCACUGUUUCGGCAAGGGGGUCAUCCCGACUUACCAACCCGAUGCAAACUGCGAAUACCGGAGAAUGUUAUCACGGGAGACACACGGCGGGUGCUAACGUCCGUCGUGAAGAGGGAAACAACCCAGACCGCCAGCUAAGGUCCCAAAGUCAUGGUUAAGUGGGAAACGAUGUGGGAAGGCCCAGACAGCCAGGAUGUUGGCUUAGAAGCAGCCAUCAUUUAAAGAAAGCGUAAUAGCUCACUGGUCGAGUCGGCCUGCGCGGAAGAUGUAACGGGGCUAAACCAUGCACCGAAGCUGCGGCAGCGACACUAUGUGUUGUUGGGUAGGGGAGCG
rnacentral:rRNA from 1 species